AUUGAACGCUGGCGGAAUGCUUUACACAUGCAAGUCGAACGGCAGCACGGACUUCGGUCUGGUGGCGAGUGGCGAACGGGUGAGUAAUGUAUCGGAACGUGCCCAGUCGUGGGGGAUAACGUAGUGAAAAUUACGCUAAUACUGCAUACGAUCUAUGGAUGAAAGCGGGGGAUCGCAAGACCGCGCGCGAUUGGGGCGGCCGAUAUCAGAUUAGGUAGUUGGUGGGGUAAAGGCCCACCAAGCCAACGAUCUGUAGCUGGUCUGAGAGGACGACCAGCCACACUGGAACUGAGACACGGUCCAGACUCCUACGGGAGGCAGCAGUGGGGAAUUUUGGACAAUGGGCGAAAGCCUGAUCCAGCCAUUCCGCGUGCAGGAUGAAGGCCCUCGGGUUGUAAACUGCUUUUGUACAGAACGAAAAGGUUUCUACUAAUACUAGGAGCUCAUGACGGUACUGUAAGAAUAAGCACCGGCUAACUACGUGCCAGCCGCCGCGGUAA
rnacentral:rRNA from 1 species